rnacentral:rRNA from 1 species
GUUAUAGGAUCAAGUGACUAAGUGCAUGCGGCGGAUGCCUUGGCGAUCACAGGCGAAGAAAGACGCGGCAGCCUGCGAAAAGCUGCGGGGAGCUGGCAAACGAGCUUUGAUCCGCAGAUAUCUGAAUGGGGGAACCCACACCGCAAGGUGUAUCCGUAACUGAAUACAUAGGUUACGGAGGCGAACGAGGAGAACUGAAACAUCUAAGUAUCCUCAGGAAAAGAAAUCAACCGAGAUUCCGGCAGUAGCGGCGAGCGAACCCGGAGGAGCCCAGCUUUUGAUAGUACGAACUUUAGCCGAAAGGACCUGGAAAGGCCUGCUAUAGUGGGUGAUAGCCCCGUAGGCGAAAGAGUUGGUACGGUACUAAGGAAGCGAGAAGUAGAGCGGGACACGUGGAAUCCUGUUCGAAGACGGGGGGACCAUCCUCCAAGGCUAAAUACUCGUGAUCGACCGAUAGUGAACCAGUACCGUGAGGGAAAGGCGAAAAGAACCCCGGGAGGGGAGUGAAAUAGAACCUGAAACCGCAUGCAUACAAACAGUAGGAGCCUUUACGGAGGUGACUGCGUACCUUUUGCAUAAUGGGUCAGCGACUUACAUUCUGUGGCGAGCUUAACCGAAUAGGGGAGGCGCAGCGAAAGCGAGUUCGAAAUGAGCGUUCAGUCGCAGGGUGUAGACCCGAAACCAGAUGAGCUAUCCAUGGCCAGGUUGAAGGUGUGGUAACACACACUGGAGGACCGAACCGACUAGUGUUGCAAAAUUAGCGGAUGAGCUGUGGAUAGGGGUGAAAGGCCAAACAAAUCUGGAGAUAGCUGGUUCUCCCCGAAAACUAUUGAGGUAGUGCCUCGUGUGUCGCUCCAGGGGGUAGAGCACUGUUUUGGCUAGGGGGACAUGGAGUCUUACCAAACCAAGGCAAACUCCGAAUACCUGGAAGCGUAAGCACGGGAGACAGAGCACCGGGUGCUAACGUCCGGACUCAAAAGGGAAACAACCCAGACCGCCGGCUAAGGUCCCAAAUAACAGCUAAGUGGAAAACGAAGUGGAAAGGCCGUGACAACCAGGAAGUUGGCUUAGAAGCAGCCAUCCUUCAAAGAAAGCGUAAUAGCUCACUGGUCGAGUCCUUCUGCGCGGAAGAUGUAACGGGGCUAAGCUGUUAACCGAAGCCGCGGAUGCGCUGGUUAUCCAGUGCGUGGUAGGGGAGCGUUCUGUAAGUCUGCGAAGGCGGUUCGAGAGGACUGCUGGAGAUAUCAGAAGUGCGAAUGCUGACAUGAGUAACGUUAAAGCAGGUGAAAAGCCUGCUCGCCGUAAGCCCAAGGAUUCCUGCUCUACGUUCAUCGGAGCAGGGUGAGUCGGCUCCUAAGGUCAGGCCGAAAGGCGUAGCCGAUGGGAAUCAGGUUAAUAUUCCUGAACCUGCGUCAGAUGCGAUGGGGGGACGGAGCAUGGAAGAUCAUCCGGGUGUUGGAAGUCCCGGUUGUUUAGCGUAGGAGGUCUGCAGGCAAAUCCGCAGACGCAUCUCCAAGGCAAAGACACGUGCCGCCACGGCGGCGAAGUGAUCGGAAGUGCUUCCAAGAAAAGCCUCUAAGCCCCAGUCUGACGCGGACCGUACCGCAAACCGACACUGGUGGGCGAGCUGAAUAUGCUCAGGCGCUUGAGAGAACUCGGGAGAAGGAACUCGGCAAAUUGACACCGUAACUUCGGAAGAAGGUGUGCCGUAGUACCGUGAGAGGAGAGACACCUUGAGCGGGAAACGGUCUCAGAGAAUAGGUGGCUGCGACUGUUUAUUAAAAACACAGCACUCUGCAAAGUCGAAAGACGACGUAUAGGGUGUGAUGCCUGCCCGGUGCUGGAAGAUUAAUUGAUGGGGUGAGAGCCCUUGAUCGAAGUCCCAGUAAACGGCGGCCGUAACUAUAACGGUCCUAAGGUAGCGAAAUUCCUUGUCGGGUAAGUUCCGACCUGCACGAAUGGCAUAACGAUGGCCACACUGUCUCCUCCCGAGACUCAGUGAAGUUGAAAUGUUUGUGAUGAUGCAAUCUACCCGCGGCUAGACGGAAAGACCCCAUGAACCUUUACUGCAGCUUUGCAUUGAACUGUGAACCGAUUUGUGUAGGAUAGGUGGGAGGCAGAGAAGAGGCCACGCCAGUGGUCUUGGAGCCGACCUUGAAAUACCACCCUGAUUUGUUUGCGGUUCUAACCACGGACAGUGAUCCUGUCUUGGGACCGUGCAUGGUAGGCAGUUUGACUGGGGCGGUCUCCUCCUAAAGGGUAACGGAGGAGUACGAAGGUACGCUAGGUACGGUCGGAAAUCGUGCUGAUAGUGCAAUGGCAAAAGCGUGCUUGACUGCGAGAGCAACAACUCGAGCAGAUGCGAAAGCAGGUCAUAGUGAUCCGGUGGCUCUGAAUGGAAGGGCCAUCGCUCAACGGAUAAAAGGUACUCUGGGGAUAACAGGCUGAUACCGCCCAAGAGUUCAUAUCGACGGCGGUGUUUGGCACCUCGAUGUCGGCUCAUCUCAUCCUGGGGCUGUAGUCGGUCCCAAGGGUAUGGCUGUUCGCCAUUUAAAGAGGUACGUGAGCUGGGUUUAAAACGUCGUGAGACAGUUUGGUCCCUAUCUGCCGUGGGCGUUGGAUGAUUGACGGGGGCUGCUCCUAGUACGAGAGGACCGGAGUGGACGCACCUCUGGUGUACCGGUUGUCACGCCAGUGGCAUUGCCGGGUAGCUAAGUGCGGAAGAGAUAACCGCUGAAAGCAUCUAAGCGGGAAACUUGCCUGAAGAUGAGUCUUCCCGGAGGUUGAACCUCCCUCAAGAGUCGUCCGAGACCAGGACGUCGAUAGGUCAGGUGUGUAAGCGCUGUAAGGCGUUAAGCUAACUGAUACUAAUUGCUCGUGAGGCUUGAUCCUAUAACC